CCUACGGGUGGCAGCAGUGAGGAAUAUUGGUCAAUGGCCGAGAGUCUGAACCAGCCAAGUCGCGUGAAGGAUGACUGCCCUACGGGUUGUAAACUUCUUUUAUCUGGGAGUAAAAUGUUCCACGCGUGGGACUUUGUAUGUACCCUAUGAAAAAGGAUCGGCUAACUCCGUGCCAGCAGCCGCGGUAAUACGGAGGAUCCGAGCGUUAUCCGGAAUUACUGGGUGUAAAGGGAGCGCAGGCGGGAAGCCAAGUCAGCUGUGAAAACUACGGGCUUAACUUGUAGACUGCAGUUGAAACUGGGUUUCUUGAGUGGAGGAGAAGUUGGCGGAAUGCCGAGUGUAGCGGUGAAAUGCGUAGAUAUUCGGAGGAACACCGGUGGCGAAGGCGGCCAACUGGGCUUUAACUGACGCUGAGGCUCGAAAGUGUGGGUAGCGAACAGGAUUAGAUACCCGUGUAGUC
rnacentral:rRNA from 1 species